UGCGGUUAAAAAGCUCGUAGUUGGAGUUCUGCCAGGUGCCGCCUGUCCGCCCCAGUGGUGAGUACGUGGCGCGCAUUUGGCCCUUUCAAGGGGAGCGUAUUGCACUUAACUGUGUGGUGCGGGAUCCUUGACUUUUACUUUGAGGAAAUAAGAGUGUUCCAAGCAGGCUCUCGUCGCGCAUAGCUCAGCAUGGAAUAAUAGCAUUGGAUCUCGAUUCCAAACUGUUGGUUGUAGGAAACGAGAUAAUGAUGAAGAGGGAUAGUUGGGGGCAUUCGUAUUUAACUGUCAGAGGUGAAAUUCUUGGAUUUGUUAAAGACGAACUACUGCGAAAGCAUCUGCCAUGGAUGUUUUCAUUGAUCAAGAACGAAAGUUAGGGGAUCGAAGACGAUCAGAUACCGUCCUAGUCUUAACUAUAAACCAUGCCGGCUAGAGAUCGGAGGUUGUUCGUUUUGUGACGCCUUCAGCAUCUCGAGAGAAAUCAAAGCCUUUGGGUUCCGGGGGGAGUAUGGUCGCAAGGCUGAAACUUAAAGGAAUUGACGGAAGGGCACCACCAGGAGUGGAGCCUGCGGCUUAAUUUGACUCAACACGGGGAAACUCACCAGGUCCAGACCGGGUAAGGAUGUACAGAUUGACAGCUCU
rnacentral:rRNA from 1 species